AUUGAACGCUGGCGGCAUGCUUUACACAUGCAAGUCGAACGGUAACAGGCCUUCGGGUGCUGACGAGUGGCGAACGGGUGAGUAAUGCAUCGGAACGUACCCAGAGGUGGGGGAUAACGCAGCGAAGGCUGUGCUAAUACCGCAUGUGAUCUGAGGAUGAAAGCGGGGGACCGAGCAGCAAUGUUUGGCCUCGCGCCUUUGGAGCGGCCGAUGUCGGAUUAGCUAGUUGGUGGGGUAAAGGCCUACCAAGGCGACGAUCCGUAGCUGGUCUGAGAGGACGACCAGCCACACUGGGACUGAGACACGGCCCAGACUCCUACGGGAGGCAGCAGUGGGGAAUUUUGGACAAAGGGCGCAAGCCUGAUCCAGCAAUGCCGCGUGCGGGAAGAAGGCCUUCGGGUUGUAAACCGCUUUUGGCAGGAACGAAACGGUGUCCGCUAAUACCGGGCGCUAAUGACGGUACCUGCAGAAUAAGCACCGGCUAACUACGUG
rnacentral:rRNA from 1 species